AACACGGUGGUGUGUUAGGUAGAUUAUGUCUCUCUCUGCGGGCACUGUGGGUGGGGUAGGUAGAGUACAUCUCCUCUCUCUGCAGCACUGUGGUUGUGUAGGUAGAGUAAUCUCCUCUCUCUGCACACUGUGGUGUGGUAGGUAGAUUAUGGUCUCUCUCUGCAGCACUGUGGUGUGGUAGGUAGAUUAUGUCUCUCUCUGCGACACUGGUGUGGUAGGUAGAUUAUGUUUCUCUCUGCGCACUGUGGUGUGGUAGGUAGAGGUAGAUUAUGUCUCUCUCUGCGGCACUGUGGUGUGGUAGGUAGAUAUGUUUCUCUCUGCGGCGCACGUGGGUGUGGUAGGUAGAGGUAGAUUAUGUCUCCUCUGCAGCACUGUGGUGUGGUAGGUAGAUUAUGUUUCUCUCUGCAGCACUGUGUGUGGUAGGUAGAGGUAGAUUGUGUCUCUCUGCGGCACUGUGUGUGGUAGGUAGAUUAUGUCUCUCUGGGCACUGUGGUGUGGUAGGUAGAGGUAGAUUAUGUCUCUCUGCGGCACUGUGGUGUGGUAGGUAGAUUAUGUCUCUCUGCGGCACUGUGGUGUGGUAGGUAGAGGUAGAUUAUGUCUCUCUGCGCACUGUGGUGUGGUAGGUAGAUUAUGUCCUCUCUGCGGCACUUUGUGGUGUGGUA
rnacentral:lncRNA from 1 species